AGGACAUCACAGACACCCACGGGGAGAAGUCCUGCUUCUUUUCCAUCGUUUCAUUUCAAUCUAUUUCUUAGAAUUAAAAAAAAAAAAAAAAGAAGCUAGCCAGCUGCAGCCAGACUGAAGAGUGUCCUGGGCUAGAGGAGGACUCUGCUUUAAGUCACUUGUGCAUACCUAUUUCUUUUGAAUCUGCACUAUCAUCUUGUCAUUCCUAUUUAAUUGGCUUUUAUUUCUGUUUCUUUUAUGCCUACCCCGGACAGGAAGUGUCUCAUUUUCAUUUAGCGAAUAGGCAAUUAUCCCAGACUUACUGGGGCCAGUUCCUUCUGGACGCUAAAGCACACCUCUGUGCUGAGAAGGGGCUGGGGCAGGUGUACUGGUAACAGGUGGGUUCCUCUACCACAGUGCUGUUGACACAGAAACUAAAGCCACAUGUGGCUGCUGAGCACUUAAAGGGACUGGUGUGAUUGAGGAAGUGCUUUUCUAAAAUGUAAUUUUAAUUAAAGAGCCACACAUGAUUGCUCCAUGAGCCAGCACGGCCCUGAAGGGCCUAGAGGAGACAGCUAAAGGCUCCUCUUCAUAGCAUCCCAGAGUGGAAGGAAGAGACCUAAGGGAGCUUCUGUCUGUCUCCAAAAGAUUUCCCAAGGUCCAGCGGGGGAGGGACCUGCCUAGGGUCAUCCAGCCUGGCCCACAGCCUGGAGUCCUCCUCCCAGCCAAGGAUUCCUUCCCCUGCUGUGUCUCCUCCAAGUUCAGAGGAGGAGAGAAGGCUUGAAGGGGAGAGCAAUGGCGGUGAUUAGAAGACCAAGGUUCUAGGUCCGGUGCUGCCAUGAGUUUGAUAUGUGUCUUUGGAGAAUAGGCUGACCUCUGAGGACCUCUGUUUUGUCAUCCAUGGAAUGAAAGUUUAGACUCUUUUCUCUCCUAGAAAUGGAGAGAAGGUGGCCUGUGACAUACUCGGGGUGACUGGGGCUCUUGAGGCAGGGACGGUGAGUGGGGGGUCAGAAUCCCUUCCACCCAGCUCUCUCCCCACUGUGACAGCUCCUGGGACACCGCAGAAACUCUAGGGCUCCAAGGAAUACAAGUUGAAAGGCACGAUUCCACAAUACUUGUAAACUACGAAUCGUGCACCCAGGUGUUUGAGAAAGGCUCGCUGGGGGAUGUGGAAUUGAAGCUGGACGAAGGGUCUGGAGAGACUGGAGGUGGGAGAGCAAAGAGGUCCUAACCAGGCAAGGUGCACAGUGCGGGGCAGUAGGGACCUGGCUUGGGUGGAUGGCGGAAAGCAGCCCGACCUCAGGAUGGCACGCCCCAUCUUCCGCUUCAUGUGCAGAGAAGGAGCUCAGUGAGGAAAGCAUCAGCUGGCCUGAGCCACUGCUUGUUUAUGAUGGAGGAUGAAAUCCACACCUCCUCAAAAGCCCUGCCUGUCCCGCCAUUUGUCUUUCUGCAAUGGAAAAAUAACAAAAAAGGCGGAUUCUGUUGGAAGGUGGGUGGUUUACUCAGUGUGCUCCUCUUAGCAGCCCCAGCAGUUUUUGCUUCUCCAGAGUGGGAUUAUUUUCCUUUUGGACAACCUGGCUCUGUGGGAGCACGUGGAUGGAAAACACGAUGCCGCGAGCUUCCAUCGGUGUGCCAGAGGCUGCAGCUUAAAUCAGAGCCAAUGGAAAGGGCAGGUUACAGGAAGCCAUGGAGACUCGGGAAGUCUGCUCAGUGACAUCCCAAAGUGCAGGGCUGAUCUGAGCGCAACCUAACGUUUCGGGGCUCACCCCAGAGGUUCCCUCUCUCAGAAUCGCUCGAUGGACGAAAGCUGCCAAGGGUGACUGCUUUUCUGGAGUUCACCUGUCCAUCAUGAAUUAAUCC
rnacentral:lncRNA from 1 species